GCCGGGAUGGCGGAAUUGGUAGACGCGCUGGACUCAAAAUCCAGUGUCUGUGAGGAUGUGAGGGUUCGAGUCCCUCUCCCGGCACCA
rnacentral:tRNA from 2 species